GUUGGAUCCGGGCUCAAAUUGAACGCUGGCGGCAGGCUUAACACAUGCAAGUCGAGCGGGGAAAGGUAGCUGGCUACCUGACCUACCGGCGGACGGGUGAGUAAUGCUUAGGAAUCUGCCUAUUAGUGGGGGACAACAUUCCGAAAGGAAUGCUAAUACCGCAUACGCCCUACGGGGGAAAGCAGGGGAUCUUCGGACCUUGCGCUAAUAGAUGAGCCUAAUUCAAAUUAGCUAGUUGGUGGGGUAAAGGCCUACCAAGGCGACGAUCUGUAGCGGGUCUGAGAGGAUGAUCCGCCACACUGGGACUGAGACACGGCCCAAACUCCUACGGGAGGCAGCAGUGGGGAAUAUUGGACAAUGGGCGAAAGCCUGAUCCAGCCAUGCCGCGUGUGUGAAGAAGGCCUUUUGGUUGUAAAGCACUUUAAGCGAGGAGGAGGCUACUUGGAUUAAUACUCUAGGAUAGUGAACGU
rnacentral:rRNA from 1 species